AAAAAAAAAAAAAAAAAAGAAAAGAAAAAGAAAAAGAAAAGAAAAACCAGAAAAAACACAUAAAAUGCGCCAUUGCACUCUAGCCUGUGUGACAGAGUGAGACUCCAUUUCAAAAAAAAAAAAAGGCUGGGCACGGUGGCUCAUGCCUGUAAUUCCAGCACUUUGGGAGGCUGAGGCGGGUGGAUCAUGAGGUCAGGAGAUCGAGACCAUCCUGGCUAACACGGUGAAACCCUGUCUCUACUAAAAAUACAAAAACUUAGCCGGGCGUGGUGGCGGAUGCCUGUAGUCCCAGCUACUCAGGAGGCUGAGGCAGGAGAAUGGUAUGAACCCAUGAGGCGGAGCUUGCAGUGAGCCGAGAUUGCGCCACUGCAGUCCAGCUUGGGUCGCAGAGACAAACAAACAAACAAACAAAAAAACCCAGAAAAAAACCACAAAAAAACCCC
rnacentral:lncRNA from 1 species